GUGUCUUCAAGGGUCUUCUAUCCUCUUCCUCUCUGCUCUUUCAAAACAAAUCUCAUAGCCCUAGCAUCCAUCCGACACAUAUCGAUCUCCACCUCCGUCGAACCCUCGCCUCCAUUCAGUAGACACCUUCGUCCAGCCGACACCUCCAUCGAUCUCCACCUCCAUCGUCGUCGAAGCCCUCACCUCCAUCGAUCUCCAUCUCCACUGCCAUCUUCCCGUUGUAAUACGUACGCCACCGCACCACCCCCGGCUCUGUUCACCUAGCUGUGCUCGGUUAAAACCCUAACCAUCGCAGCUCCAAUUUCACUCAGCGAUUCAUCUUCAAACGCUCACUCAAGACAUCUGGUACGGAUCCUAACCCUAGAUCUGCUGUUUUUUGUUUGAAAUGGCAUGUUGCACCGUUUGGCGAAUGGCGAAAAAAGAUCAAUAAAGAAUCGUUAGGAUUUUGGAAUCCUUCUCAACUUUUUAGUUCAAGCAUUAGUAAAAGACUAGUUAUAAGCUUUUAACCAAGACCCUUCAAGUUUCAUUAAGCACAAAGCCUAGCAAAACGGACCGAUGGGUAUGCAUAUCCGGACCCGGUCGAAUGAGGUAAAAACAGAACCAUGAUAAAAUCAUGUUUGGAUUAAAUUAAUAACAAAAUAGCAAAAAAUGAUGACACCCUUAAAAAUAAAGAACAAAGAAGAAAGAGGGGUAAAGUUGUAGAUAAGUAAAACAUUCCCAAAUAAGAGCUUAUAAAAUAAUAAGUGUCCUAAUAUUAACAUAUGGCAAAAACUUAUUUACACAUAGUGUAUACGGCCCGUAUACAUCAUGUGUAAAAAAUUUGUCUGGUCGUAUACAAUGUAUACGAACGAUGUAUACGGGUCGUAUAACCGUAUACGGCCCGUAUGAAACGAAAAUUAGAUUUUACCCAAAGUAUUUAAGGGAUUUAAGCUGUCAAUCACACGAGACAUUUUACAGUCGUUAGGUGGUCAAAUCUUUCUAAAAGUAGAAAAAAAUAAAACAUUAACAAGUAACAAAGAUUGAAGAACAAAAAAACGUGUCGUAUGACUGUAAUAAAAAG
rnacentral:lncRNA from 1 species